GAUGAGCCCGCGGCCUAUCAGCUUGUUGGUGAGGUAAUGGCUCACCAAGGCUUCGACGGGUAGCCGGCCUGAGAGGGUGACCGGCCACACUGGGACUGAGACACGGCCCAGACUCCUACGGGAGGCAGCAGUGGGGAAUAUUGGACAAUGGGCGGAAGCCUGAUCCAGCAACGCCGCGUGAGGGAUGACGGCCUUCGGGUUGUAAACCUCUUUCAGCACAGACGAAGCGCAAGUGACGGUAUGUGCAGAAGAAGGACCGGCCAACUACGUGCCAGCAGCCGCGGUAAUACGUAGGGUCCGAGCGUUGUCCGGAAUUAUUGGGCGUAAAGGGCUCGUAGGCGGUUUGUCACGUCGGGAGUGAAAACCAGGUGCUUAACACCUGGCCUGCUUUCGAUACGGGCAGACUAGAGGUACUCAGGGGAGAAUGGAAUUCCUGGUGUAGCGGUGAAAUGCGCAGAUAUCAGGAGGAACACCGGUGGCGAAGGCGGUUCUCUGGGAGUAUCCUGACGCUGAGGAGCGAAAGUGUGGGGAGCGAACAGGAUUAGAUACCCUGGUAGUCCACACCGUAAACGUUGGGCGCUAGGUGUGGGAUCCAUUCCACGGGUUCCGUGCCGCAGCUAACGCAUUAAGCGCCCCCGCCUGGGGAGUACGGCCGCAGGGCUAAACUCAAAGGAAUUGAC
rnacentral:rRNA from 1 species